rnacentral:lncRNA from 1 species
GUUAUUGCACACGAUCAACCUAACGACAUUGAUUGUUAGAUGUUGGGUAUUAGUUAUUGCACACGAUCAACCAAACGACAUUGAUUGUUAGAUGUUGGGUAUUAGUUAUUGCACACAAUCAACCAAACAACAUUGAUUGUUAGAUGUUGGGUAUUAGUUAUUGCACACGAUCAACCAAACGACAUUGAUUGUAAGAUGUUGGGUAUUAGUUAUUGCACACGAUCAACCAAACGACAUUGAUUGUUAGAUGUUGGGUAUUAGUUAUUGCAC